rnacentral:rRNA from 1 species
UACGAAGGGGGCUAGCGUUGCUCGGAAUCACUGGGCGUAAAGGGUGCGUAGGCGGGUCUUUAAGUCAGGGGUGAAAUCCUGGAGCUCAACUCCAGAACUGCCUUUGAUACUGGCGAUCUUGAGUCCGGGAGAGGUGAGUGGAACUGCGAGUGUAGAGGUGAAAUUCGUAGAUAUUCGCAAGAACACCAGUGGCGAAGGCGGCUCACUGGCCCGGUACUGACGCUGAGGCACGAAAGCGUGGGGGAGCAA